AAAUAUUGAAGUACCAAGUGAAUGAGCCGGUU
rnacentral:piRNA from 1 species